ACUGGCAUGUCGGAAGCGGAGACACCCUUCCACUUCGUCUGCAGCCUACCGGGGGUUCCAGGCUAGCAGGAAGGGACGCUGCAGGUACCCUACUAAGAAAGGUCACAAUGGAAGUCAAAGUCUACCAUUCACUGAAGAAGCCAUUCUGCAGCAAAAAAGACACGACAUACUUCUGGAAGCUGACAGCCAUAUGGUCCCACAUACAGUUUUGAAGUACCUGAAGCAAUCAUAGAAAGGGAGCUAUUUCUAGGAAAUUAAUGAGCUGCAUCCGAGAGAAGGAUUGAACCUGUAAGAUUCUUGUUAGUGUGCAAAGAGAUACAUACACAGCAAGCAACUAAAUAAUAAUAAAGACUACUAAAACAAGAUUUUUGAAACACAAUAUUGAAAUAAAAAGAAUAAAUCAGAACUCACCUUGUCUUUAAGGCUGAGUAGGUA